CUCGGCUCACUUGAACCUGUGUAGAAUUACCUCAUAAGUUAAUUUAAAACUCUUUCUGUAGAAACAGAGCAGAGCAAUAACUGGUUGAUUCUGCUCCUGAACAGCAGGAGACCUUUAAAUCCACGUGAGAAGGAUCUUCUCAUCCCUUCCUCAGAGCGCACUCACGUUUGCUGACUGUUGGAGAGGGCUAGAUGAUCAUCUUCAUAUAUGUAUGUUAGUUCUCAUACACCAAGGGAGAGUUGUGCUUCUGUUUCCAGAACAAGUGGAAAGCAGAGAGCAGAUGAGUUAAUAUCCCUGCAUUGCUCUGCCAGACCAGUCUGCACCAAGCCAUAUGAAUGGACUGAUAUUUCAGAGGUACCAGCUUUCAGAGGGCUCCACACCAAGACAGAAGGAAUGAAGAUUCAGAAGAGGGAAAGGCCUGGAGGGGAGAGGAAAUCAGCAAAAAGGAAGGGAAGAUGUUGAAGGUUCGGCAAGGAUUAUGGACAGGUAACUGUCUUUCCCUCCCAAAGUUUUGUAACGAGAAAGGUACUGUUGCUUAAAGAAAACAAAGACAAAACCAAAUUACUCGCUUUGUUUUUAAGGUUGGUCAUACACUGAUUUGUGGCAGAAGCACAGAAAGGAAGUGUUUAGCUCUAGAAAGCCAUUCCAAAGAGGGAAUAAAGAGCACUAGCCGUGUCA
rnacentral:lncRNA from 1 species